UUGGUGAAGUUUCGGUGUGGUAUUAGGUUUGAUUGGUGACGUUCCGGUGUGGUAUUAGGUUUGGUUGGUGACGUUUCGGUGUGGUAUUAGGUUUGGUUGGUGACGUUCCGGUGUGGUAUUAGGUUUGGUUGGUGAAGUUCCGGUGUGGUAUUAGGUUUGAUUUGGUGAAGUUUCGGUGUGGUAUUAGGUUUGAUUUGGUGAAGUUCCGGUGUGGUAUUAGGUUUGAUUUGGUGAAGUUCCGGUGUGGUAUUAGGUUUGAUUUGGUGAAGUUCCGGUGUGGUAUUAGGUUUGAUUUGGUGAAGUUCCGGUGUGGUAUUAGGUUUGAUUUGGUGA